UGGUCACCGUGCAGUCUCUUCCAUCUUUGAAUGAGAUGGCCACGGAUUCCACCACUACCGUGGCUCUUCCUGACGUAAUGAAGGCCUCGAUCCGGCCUGAUAUUGUGAACUUCGUCCACGCUAAUAUUUCCAAGAACAGCCGCCAGCCCUACGCUGUGUCCAAGCGCGCUGGUCACCAGACCUCCGCCGAGUCUUGGGGUACUGGACGUGCCGUUUCCCGUAUUCCUCGUGUACCCGGUGGUGGCACUCACCGUGCUGGUCAGGGUGCUUUCGGUAACAUGUGUCGUGGCGGGCGCAUGUUUGCUCCUACUAAAAUCUGGCGCCGCUGGC
rnacentral:lncRNA from 1 species